rnacentral:rRNA from 1 species
AUUGAACGCUGGCGGCAUGCCUUACACAUGCAAGUCGAACGGUAACGCGGGGCAACCUGGCGACGAGUGGCGAACGGGUGAGUAAUGUAUCGGAACGUGCCCAGUUGUGGGGGAUAACUGCUCGAAAGAGCAGCUAAUACCGCAUACGACCUGAUGGUGAAAGCGGGGGAGCGCAAGACCUCGCGCAAUUGGAGCGGCCGAGAUCAGAUUAGGUAGUUGGUGGGGCAAAGGCCCACCAAGCCAACGAUCUGUAGCUGGUCUGAGAGGACGACCAGCCACACUGGGACUGAGACACGGCCCAGACUCCUACGGGAGGCAGCAGUGGGGAAUUUUGGACAAUGGGCGCAAGCCUGAUCCGGCCAUGCCGCGUGCGGGAAGAAGGCCUUCGGGUUGUAAACCGCUUUUGUCAGGGAAGAAACGCUCUGGGUUAAUACCUCGGGGUAAUGACGGUACCUGAAGAAUAAGCACCGGCUAACUACGUGCCAGCCGCCGCCGUAAAAC